rnacentral:rRNA from 1 species
GAUACGUCUUCAGAGUUUGAUCCUGGCUCAGAGUGAACGCUGGCGGCGUGCCUAAUACAUGCAAGUCGAACGGACGACUGGGAGCUUGCUCCUGGAAGUUAGUGGCGCACGGGUGAGUAAUGUAUAGCUAAUCUGCCCUAUGCUGGAGGACAACAGUUAGAAAUGACUGCUAAUACUCCAUACUCCUUCUUAACAUAAGUUAAGUUGGGAAAGUUUUUCGGCAUAGGAUGAGGCUAUAUCGUAUCAGCUAGUUGGUGAGGUAAUGGCUCACCAAGGCUAUGACGCGUAACUGGUCUGAGAGGAUGAUCAGUCACACUGGAACUGAGACACGGUCCAG